UACAGAGGGUGCGAGCGUUGUCCGGAAUCACUGGGCGUAAAGGGCGCGUAGGUGGCGACCCAAGUCGAUGGUGAAAGCUCGCCGCUCAACGGCGAGUCGGCCACUGAUACUGGGUUGCUCGAGCACUGUAGAGGCAGAUGGAAUUCCGGGUGUAGCGGUGGAAUGCGUAGAGAUCCGGAAGAACACCGGUGGCGAAGGCGGUCUGCUGGGCAGUUGCUGACACUGAGGCGCGACAGCGUGGGGAGCAAACAGG
rnacentral:rRNA from 1 species